rnacentral:tRNA from 1 species
CAGAGGGUAGUUUAGAAUAAAAUAUCAGCUUUGGGAGUUGAAGAAGUAAAUAUUAUUUAUUUCUCUGG